GGGGCUAUAGCUCAGUUGGUAGAGCUUUUGAAUGGCAUUCAAAAGGUCAGCGGUUCAAUUCCGCUUAGCUCCACCA
rnacentral:tRNA from 9 species